rnacentral:rRNA from 1 species
GAUGAACGCUAGCUACAGGCUUAACACAUGCAAGUCGAGGGACCGGCGCACGGGUGAGUAACACGUAUCCAACCUGCCCUUUACUCGGGGAUAGCCUUUCGCAAGAACGAUUAAUACCUGAUAUAAAGGACGGGGAUGAGUUCCAUUAGGUUGGUGGUAAGGUAACGUCUAACCAAGCCUUCGAUGGAUAGGGGUUCUGAGAGGAAGGUCCCCCACAUUGGAACUGAGACCCGGUCCAAACGCCGACGGGAGGCAGCAGUGAGGAAUAUUGGUCAAUGGGCGCUAGCCUGAACCAGCCAAGUAGCGGGAAGGAUGAAUGCUUAUGGGUCGUAAACUUCUUUUAUAUAAGAAUAUGUAUUAUAUGAAUAAGGAGCGGCUAACUCCGUGCCAGCAGCCGCGGUAAUUC